CAGCAGCCACGGUAAUACGUAGGUGGCAAGCGUUGUCCGGAAUUAUUGGGCGUAAAGGGCUCGCAGGCGGUUUCUUAAGUCUGAUGUGAAAGCCCCCGGCUCAACCGGGGAGGGUCAUUGGAAACUGGGAAACUUGAGUGCAGAAGAGGAGAGUGGAAUUCCACGUGUAGCGGUGAAAUGCGUAGAGAUGUGGAGGGACACCAGUGGCGAAGGCGACUCUCUGGUCUGUAACUGACGCUGAGGAGCGAAAGCGUGGGGAGCGAACAGGAUUAGAUACCCCAGUAGUCCCUGUCUCUUAUAC
rnacentral:rRNA from 1 species